rnacentral:rRNA from 1 species
UACGAAGGGGGCUAGCGUUGUUCGGAAUUACUGGGCGUAAAGCGCGCGCAGGCGGCCUUGCAAGUCAGGUGUGAAAGCCCCGAGCUUAACUUGGGAAUGGCGCUUGUGACUGGUAGGCUGGAGUGUGGCAGAGGGAGGUGGAAUUCCACGUGUAGCAGUGAAAUGCGUAGAGAUGUGGAGGAACACCGAUGGCGAAGGCAGCCUCCUGGGCCAGCACUGACGCUCAUGCACGAAAGCGUGGGGAGCAAACAGG